rnacentral:tRNA from 1 species
AAUUUUAUAGUUAAUUAUAUAAUAUUAGAAUGCAAUUCUAAAGUAGUGAAGUAAAUUUGCUAAGAUUU